GUUAUUAUUAUUAUUGAGGGGAUACAGUUCGGUGGCCUCAGUAUUGGGUCUUUGCUCUUUGCAAAUGAUGUGGUUCUGUUGGCUUCAUCGGGCCGUGAUCUUCAGCUCUCACUGGAGCGAUUCGCAGC